AGGAAGUAGCACAUUUUUGGCACCCUGGGAACUACUUCCUUCCCCUCCACUCUGCACAUGGAGGUGAGCUAUGAUGUAGCUAUGGGCUCUCCAUGCCUCCAUGCCAUGGUACUUCAGAGGGAAGAGAAGUCACAUCUACUACCAGAUCACUGCAGCUCACUUUCCAAUGUGGGAAACUGACUUAGAAGACUGUUGUCAAGGACAAUGAAUCAGGAGGAUAUGGAGCCCAGAUUUUACCACAGAAGCUAGGCUUUGAAGAGGACAGAAGGAAGUGACUCUCUGAUAGCUUGCCCUUCCAAGUUUGUAGUUCAUUUAUUUUCGUCAAAGCUGAAUUGAAAGGGAAAGUCAAUCCUGGUGACAAACCUUUCUCCACUGUCAUGUUUUGACUGCCCUCAUUGGCUUUGCAUUGACCCAAGUGGAAAAUCCAUUGUGUUGAGUUAUGAGAAGGAAUAAAGAACAAAGUCUUGUAUUGAAAGGU